CAGGGCCCGGUGACGUGACCCAGUUCCCGACUCCCAUUAGCUACGUGGCCUGGCCGGAAGACGCUUUCGUGGCACCCCGGGUCCUGGAAGUUGUGAUGCACUACAUCCUCUAGCGUACCAAUUGUAUCCAUCGAGGAUACCACGUGGAUUUGCCCCGCGCGAUCGUGCAGAAGUAAUUAUCAGAAGAUCUCAACACUUGGGGGCAGUAGAGAUGGCUCAAAGGUCCAGAGCUCUAGCUCUCAACCUUCCCAAUGCUGCGACCCUUUACUUCCGCAUGUUGUGCCGAUUCCACUCUGAGAAGACGGCCCACAGAACUUCUGCUCCCAGGGAGCGCCGACAUGUGCAGCUUCCACCAGGAUGAACGAUGUCCUCUAUUCCCAGUUAACUGAAACAGAGAAUAAAUGGAAAUAAAUCCUUG